UGGAGCUUGAACGAUGAUAACUCAUAUAAGUACUCAUUUAUUUCAAGAGAUUACAAAGUUAUUACAUAGCUAAAUUAAGUGAAGUAAAGUGACUGAAAAAGUGGCAAACACAACAUACAAUAUAUUUUAAAUAGCAGGAUUACUGAGAGUUUUAAUGGCGGACACGAAAAAAAAUGCAGGCAAUACAGUUUGGACUACUUGAAGUUCGGAUUUAUUGCAUCUGCAUCAAAUCAACACUUGCCGAUGUGUCUCAUAUGUGAAAAAGUAUUCAGUAACGAUGCCAUGAAGCCUUCAAAAAUGGAUGACCACUUAUCAAGAGUACAUGCUGACAAAAAAUGUUUCUCGUCUGAAACUCAGCCGUGGACUGAUUGUCUUGUGACCAAAAAUCGAGCCCUUAUAUGUCAUCGCAAUAACAGAUGUGGAGAUUUUUGUCUCAGAGUUGACCAGUUGGUUUGGAGACAACAUAUACAAAUAAUAAUAUACAGUAUUCAUGCACUGAUGUUGUUACUUCAUUGACUUCAUAAAGAAUAACAGCAGAAUUGCCAAGGGUAAUAAGACAAGAUUUUCACUUGUUGGGUUCAUUAUGCAAGGUGUGCAAUGCAGAUCCUAUCCAACAUAUACGACGUUAACAUUUUAAUGUUCUGUAUAUAUAAAGACUACACAGUGAUCAAUUGCAGUGAUGUUGCUUCUUUGCCAUUACUGCAUAAUGAGGUUUAAUUUAACAUGAAAAAUUCACAGUACUGUUUGCUAUGACAAAGUUGUUGUGCUAGUCACUUAUAUUUCAGGUUCUCAUAAUUAAUAGCAGACUUAUUUCAUACUUGUUACAUUUGAUAAUGGUGACUGAGCUUCAUCAAAAACAGGCAUGUAAACUUUCUGUAAUUUACUGUGACUCUGGCUGCACUACUGUACUGAAGUCAAAUAAAUUUGAGAAGAAAAUGUUUAAUUACAACCACUCCUCUUAGAAAUGUCCACUAUUACCAUACAAUGGGAAUCCAAGAUAUUGUGUUAUAAUAUUAAGGAAACGGUUCGUGUUAACGACGCCAGAACCCUUCACAAAAGUACCCUUUAGCAUCGAUUUAUAAAUAUCAUGCUCCUGAAAUUAUAUUUCAGUAGGGAUGCAAUUUCAUAUGUAUUGAUAGAGGCACUCUUGUUUUUGUCAUACAAAACAUAGAACUGAGGAGAAUCUGGCAACUGAUUGGUAUAAGAGAAGUUAUUGCAUGGAUGAUAGUCACUAAAUUUUUAAUAGUUUGUCAUAAAAUAUCAACAAAAAAGAAGAAACUGUCAGAACUGUAUGACUUACAAGGAAAGCUGUGUUAACUGGCUUUUGGGAACAGGAUGAUGUAGAUGU